rnacentral:rRNA from 1 species
UACAGAGGUCCCGAGCGUUGUUCGGAUUUAUUGGGCGUAAAGCGUGCGUAGACGGUUUCGUAAGUCGGGUGUGAAAUCCCCGGGCUCAACCUGGGAAUUGCAUUCGAAACUGCGAGGCUAGGGUACGGAAGAGGGAAGCGGAAUUUCUGGUGUAGCGGUGAAAUGCGUAGAUAUCAGAAGGAACAUCAGUGGCGAAAGCGGCUUCCUGGUCCAGUACCGACGUUCAGGCACGAAAGCGUGGGGAGCAAACAGG